rnacentral:lncRNA from 1 species
CGAUGGAAGGGACCCAGCCAUGGUCAGCCUCAUCCUUGUCACCUGCGUCAGGUCCCGCAUCGGCUCCUGACGCUGACGCUGCUACCGGGUUUGGAGCUGUGUUUGCUCUGCGGUCCUCGCCCGCCCCUCAGCCAGCUGGAUCCUCAGCUUCUGGAGCGCUGGUGGCAGCCACUGUUGGACCCGCUGCGGGCCUGCCUGCCGCUGGGCCCCCGAGGGCUGCCCGAUGGCUUCCCCCUGCACACGGACAUCCUAGGACUGCUGCUCCUCCAUCUGGAACUGAAACGUUGCCUCUUCACCGUGGAGCCUCUGGGGAAUAAAGAACCCUCCCCAGAACAGCGCAGGCGCCUCCUCCGCCAUUUCUACGCCUUGGUCACUACAGCGCACUUCCCAGCAGGUGAGGGGCGUGCUGGGGGACACUAGAGAGACUGAAAGGAAAACCCAGCACAGCUGGCCAUGGUUUCCCUUGAGCACCCAGCAUUGACACAGGCUGGAAGGGAGGGUACCCGGGCUCCUGCCUGGCUUCUGACUUUCUUGGGUAAUUCUACUAGUUAAUAAUAAUUAACACGAGGCCUUUUCUUUUGCUAGUAA